GCUGAGCACAGUGGCACAUGCCUGUAGUCCCAGCCACACAAGAGGCUGAGGCAGGAGGAUCACUUAAGUCCAGGAGUUCUUGGCUGUAGUGUACUAUGCCAAUUGCAUGUCCAUGUUAAAUUCAGCGUCAGUAUGGUGACCGCUCAGACCUUAGGAGCUGGGGACCACCAGGUUGCCUAAGGAGAGGUGAACUGGCCCAGAUCGGAAACAGAGCAGGUCAGAACUCCCAUGCUGAUCAGUACUGGGAUGGAGCCUGUAAAUAGCCACUGUACUCCAGCCUGGGCCACAAAGUAGAAACCCAUCU
rnacentral:SRP_RNA from 10 species